CUUUGCAUAUCAUUAUUAUUUUCGCAGGUAAGAAUUGAAGGUACCGUAGAAAGAGUUUCCUGCUGCAAGUCAGACGAACUCUUCCGAGAAAGUUCGUAUGAUACUCAGAUUGGAACCCUCCUCUGUGAACAGAGUACUCCCAUCGAAAGCCGAUCUGCAUUAUUAUGUAAAACUAAUAAGAUGAAGAAGCACUAUCCUGAAGGAAAAGUUCCACGUUCUCCCCUUUGGGGUGGUUAUAUAAUCAGACCACACACCAUCGAGUUUUGGCAAGGUCAAAAUGAUAGCCUUCACGACAGGAUCAGAUUUAGACGACCCAAAGAAAAGGAACCAGAUGGAGUUUUGACACAUGAAGGAGAAAAUGGAUGGGUGUAUGAGAGACUAUGUCCACCCUGAAAAUAAUUUAAUAAUGGCAUUCUACCUAGUCGGAAGUCAACCCAAUUCAUUCUGUGAAUUUUGUAUCCUAUUUUGGUGAUCUAGUGAAUCAUGUAACCCUUUAUAAAUUUAUUACAGUAGUAAUAUUGACGA